AGCUUUGCGCAGUGGCAAUAUCGUAGCCAAUGAGGUGUACCCGAGGCGCGAUUAUUGCUAAUUGAAAGUCUGGAAGCUUCCCUGAAACCUGUCCGCCGUCGUGACUGACAUGUGAAGCACGCAAGGACUUUAGGGAAGUCCGCAGAAGAA
rnacentral:snRNA from 1 species